CAUAUUGAAUCUAUGUCUCCAUGUUAAGUAUCCUCACACCUUCUGGUCAAUGGUCUAAAUGGGCCAGCUUGAUUAUCACGACAAACGUUUUUUCUCCUGCUGAUAAUAGCUCAUCUUAAUUAGUGAGCCCCUUAUAGUUUGUACGGCAACUUCCACCUUCUCUGUAUGUAUUUUUAUCUUCUUACUCUAUGUUCCAUUCUAUGCAUCCGAUGAAGUGGUCUGUAGCCCACGAAAGCUUAUGCUCCAAUAAAUCUGUUAGUCUCUAAGGUGCCACAAGUCCUCCUGUUCUUUUUGAAAACUCCAAGCUUCCCUGAGACUGAUGUGCCCCCACCCCCAGGGUGCCAGUGGGCCGGCCCUGUUCCCCCUCCUCCACAGCAGUGCCAGUGGUCCAGCCUAACCCCCCCACCUCCCGGCAGUGCCAGUGGGCUGGCCCUGUUCCCACCCUCCCUGUAGCAGUGUCAUUGGGCUAGUCCAUCAGCUGGGGUGCCAUGGGGAGGGGACACCCCCUGCACCCCAGAGACCGGCCAGUGGGGCCAUUGCAGUGACAUCAAACUGGCCCUGAGACCCGGCUGGGGGCGAUGGGGAGCUCCUGAGCCAACCCUGCCCUCUCCCAGCCCCACGGGAGCCCCUUGCUAGCCCUGGGAUCCCCCUCGGGAUGCAUGAGAGCCGGCACCCCAGCUCACAGCCAGUCCCUGCCCCAAGAAGCUCACAGCCCAAGAGCCAGGGAAAUUCCUGGUGCCAGCAACUGGCUGCUGGGAGGUGGGGGGGGUCUCCUGGUGCCAGAGGCCGGCUGUUGGGGGAUGGGGGUCCCCUGGCAACAGAGGCUGGCUGUUGAGGGUGGGGGGCCCCUGGUGCCAGAGGCUGGCUGUUGGGGGCUAGGGGUAUCCCUGGAGCCAGGGGAUGUCUUUUGGGGGUUGGGGGUCUGCUGGUGCCAGAGACCGGCUGUUGAGGCAGGGGGUGUCCCUGGAGCCAGAGGCUUUCUGUUGGGAUGUGGGGGUCCCCUGGUGACAGAGGAUUGCUGUAGAGGGUAGGGGCCCCCCAAGCCAGAGGCUGGCUUUUGGGAGGUGGGAGAUCCCCUUGAACCAGAGGCCGGCUGCUAGGGAAUGGGGGGAUCCCCUUGAGCCUAUUGUUCUUUCCCCAAACGUCUGAACCUGCCACAGCCUCCAGGAGGCCCUGGGCCCCCAGCCACUGUGCUGCUGAGACACAGGCCCCACAAGUGCCCCCUCAUCUUCUGCCUGGCUGCCAUCUCUCCCUGGGGACGGGGCCAGCCACUGGGGACGUCUUCCUGGCUGCGGUGGCCACCUUCCUUCUGCGGAGACCCAGGAGCAGCCGAGGCCUAGUGGCUGUCUGCUGGGCCUGGCUGAGAUGAGCAGGGUCUCUGCCUGGACGGCUGCCACUCCAGGGGCUCAGGGCUUGGCAGGAGCGACUCCUUCCCGGCCUGGCUGCUUGCGGGUCGGAGCUCAGCCCUGCAUCCUGGGCAGAGGCUGUGCCAGGCGGUCCUGGACUGGGGCGUCCGGACACCACAGGGAACCCCAACUCGUCUGUCAGUGGAAGCAGCAAGGAAUCCCGCUCCCGAGUGUGUGCUGGCCACAGGAGUCCCAGCCACGAGCCACGCCUCUCUCACAUAAUGGUGCUAAACCGUGUUGGCCGCGAGGCUGCACACUCCAGUGCUUUAACCAUCUGCGUCUGGCAGAACAAGAAUAAGCAGCAGCCAUGAGCCGGGGCCUGGGGCCGGUUCUCAGUGGACUCGAGCGACUUCUCCUGUGUUUCUCCUCCAUGUUCCUUUGGGGUAGCGUGAAAUGUGAAAUGUAACUUGUGCACUUUUUUCCACUAGCUGGUACCUGUAGGUGUGGGAGCGGCCGGGCGGUGGCGCUGGCUCCCAGGCCCGGAGGUGUGGGAGCGGCUGGGCAGGGGCGUUGGCUCCCGGGCCAGGAGGUGUGGGAGCGUCCGGGCGGGGGCACUGGCUCCUGGGCCAAUGGCAGAGACUUGGCUCCGGGCCUGCCACCUUCCCUGCUGGAUAGUCUGUAUUGGCCAGUUUUAGAGACAUGCCAUAUGUUUCUGUUUGCUCAUUAAAGAUCGUUCUCACAGUCUGA